CACCAGUUAUAGCCGGAGUUGGCUGGUCACUGGUGUUACCUUCUCAAAUAAGCAUCUCUCGUGAAGAUACUAACCGGCGCCGCUACUGUCGCCAUCAUCGCGUCAUUUGCCGGUACACGCACAGUAUAUCCUCGAACAGGUCCAGUUUUGUCAUUCGGAAGAAGAACACCGAGGACGCAUUUUACGUUCACGCUGUCACACGAAACACGAAAUAAAGGACGACAAUCGAGUUGAGUUUAUCUACAUUCUGUUUAUCUUAUGGAAAACUGACCUCGGAAAACGAACCGUACCGUGCGAUUUCGAAAUCUACCUACUUGGACCGAGAACUUGAUCGAAGAUUCAAUUUGGCGCGAUGCCGAGAAAUCCGCACGAAAGGAAUUGAAGACACCCUCAUUUCUCGAUGGCUCGCUAUAAUAUGUUAUAGAACUCAUUCAGGAGGCCUUAGGGCCUCAGCACAAAGAUAGUCAUAACUGAGUCGUAGAUCAACGCACAAUGUUUUGAUCAACCUAUAUCUACGACUUACGUUUCAGGUCUCAAUUACGAUCAUCUUUGUGCAUUUAAGCCCUUAAGAUUAGGA